GGCUUCCUCCCAAAGCCCUCCAAGCCAGACACACGGCCGCCGCAGCCGAGAUGGCCGCCGGAGAUGCCACCCACGCGCCGCCGGCCGCGGAGGCGCAGUCUCUGGUGGAGUCGUUCUGCGCCGUCACCUCGGCGACCCCCGACGAGGCGGCCUUCUUCCUCGAGGGCCACAACUGGGCCCUCGAGGCCGCCGUUCGCUCCUUCUACGACAACACGGAAGUCGACGCCGAUGGCCCCGAUCCGGCACCCCAGACCCCGCCAGCCGGUUCGCCUCCGUGCUCCUCACCACGCGCCACGACACCAUCGACGACCUCCUCCAUACCGGCGAGCUCGCGCUAUGUUCAGUUGUGCUCAUGUUCAGGCUCAUCAUAAUCCUGAGCAGCGCCGCCAAGAUCACUCACCAGGCGCAGGCCCUUACUGGCCAGACCACCAAGUGGCACGCCUGCUGGCUGCUGCACUAUCGAGCCGGUCCUGGACGAUGAGAUAGAUCCGGGAUCCAACCAGAACUCCAUGCUGGAAGGGUACCCCUAGGACGAGAGCGGUUGAGAGUCCAGCGAGGAGACCGGCGAUGAGGACAUACUGGAGAACACCAAGUUCCUCUAGAUGUUGGUUUUUUCCCUGCAUAUGCUCAACUAGGCUCAACUGGAACAAGUAUGCAAAUGGGCAAAAAAUGAUGCGAGCAAUCAAAUGUGUCCCAAGUUCCUCCAGCUUCACACACACCUGAUCUCCUUCCAGAAGAGGCAGACACUAGUGACCUACCUGGAGAACAACAAGGCCGGCAUCACCGUGUUCGGGUUCACGCUGGACCGGUCGUACCUCCACACCAUGUUCAUGCUCGAGUGGACGCUCUUCUUGUGGCUGCUGGGGAUAACAGUCGGCUUCUCGUGAAGACGAGGGAAUGUGUGUGUGUGUGUGUGUGUGUAUCGUCCUUCCCAGCCAGGUGGUGGUAUUCCGUUCCAUGCUUUUUUGCUGUUGCCCCGUUUGAUCCUUGUGAAAAACAGGAGAAGUAGGUUUUUGGGGUGUGUGCGCGCGCGGGUGGCACGUGAGUGGUGUGCACUUGUACUAGCAGCAAUUUUGUGUGAUGGUUGUGUAAAUUAUUAUGGGUUGAUUGCUAGUGGACGUAAGGUGCAUGUACAGGUUUAGAUGAGUGCUUUAGAGCCUCGUGCGUGCGUGCGUGCCGAUUGGUAUUGCAGGUUUAUAAUCUCGGGUUGUAAGCCACCCUCAGUUGUAGAGCAAGUCUUACAAAAUGAAGUUU